rnacentral:rRNA from 1 species
UACGUAGGUGGCAAGCGUUGUCCGGAAUUAUUGGGCGUAAAGCGCGCGCAGGCGGUCCUUUAAGUCUGAUGUGAAAGCCCACGGCUCAACCGUGGAGGGUCAUUGGAAACUGGGGGACUUGAGUACAGAAGAGGAAAGCGGAAUUCCACGUGUAGCGGUGAAAUGCGUAGAUAUCUGGAGGAACACCGGUGGCGAAGGCGGCAUCCUGGACCGAUACUGACGCUGAGGAGCGAAAGCCAGGGGAGCAAACGGG